AACGAACGCUGGCGGCAUGCCUAACACAUGCAAGUCGAACGAAGGCUUCGGCCUUAGUGGCGCACGGGUGCGUAACGCGUGGGAACCUGCCCCUCGGUUCGGAAUAACAGUUAGAAAUGACUGCUAAUACCGGAUGAUGACUUCGGUCCAAAGAUUUAUCGCCGAGGGAUGGGCCCGCGUAGGAUUAGCUAGUUGGUGAGGUAAGAGCUCACCAAGGCUAAGACGGGUAGCUGGUCUGAGAGGAUGAUCAGCCACACUGGAACUGAGACACGGUCCAGACUCCUACGGGAGGCAGCAGUGGGGAAUAUUGCGCAAUGGGCGAAAGCCUGACGCAGCCACGCCGCGUGAGCGAUGAAGGCCUCGGUCGUAAGACUCUGUGGGAGGAGACGAAGAAAGACC
rnacentral:rRNA from 1 species